CUAAUACAUGCAAGUAGAACGCUGAAGGAGGAGCUGCUUCUCCGGAUGAGUUGCGAACGGGUGUGUAACGCGUAGGUAACCUGCCUGGUAGCGGGGGAUAACUAUUGGAAACGAUAGCUAAUACCGCAUAACAAUGGAUGACACAUGUCAUUUAUUUGAAAGGGGCAAUUGCUCCACUACAAGAUGGACCUGCGUUGUAUUAGCUAGUAGGUGAGGUAACGGCUCACCUAGGCGACGAUACAUAGCCGACCUGAGAGGGUGAUCGGCCACACUGGGACUGAGACACGGCCCAGACUCCUACGGGAGGCAGCAGUAGGGAAUCUUCGGCAAUGGGGGCAACCCUGACCGAGCAACGCCGCGUGAGUGAAGAAGGUUUUCGGAUCGUAAAGCUCUGUUGUAAGUCAAGAACGAGUGUGAGAGUGGAAAGUUCACACUGUGACGGUAGCUUACCAGAAAGGGACGGCUAACUACGUGCCAGCAGCCGCGGUAAUACGUAGGUCCCGAGCGUUGUCCGGAUUUAUUGGGCGUAAAGCGAGCGCAGGCGGUUUGAUAAGUCUGAAGUUAAAGGCUGUGGCUCAACCAUAGUUCGCUUUGGAAACUGUCAAACUUGAGUGCAGAAGGGGAGAGUGGAAUUCCAUGUGUAGCGGUGAAAUGCGUAGAUAUAUGGAGGAACACCGGUGGCGAAAGCGGCUCUCUGGUCUGUAACUGACGCUGAGGCUCGAAAGCGCGGGGAGCGAACAGGAUUAGAUACCCUGGUAGUCCACGCCGUAAACGAUGAGUGCUAGGUGUUGGAUCCUUUCCGGGAUUCAGUGCCGCAGCUAACGCACUAAGCACU
rnacentral:rRNA from 1 species